CGCAGAUAUACUGUGUAUUUCCCAGAGUUGCCUUUUUUGUUCAUUGAUUACACAAAUACUUUAUCUACAUGUUGUAUCAUCACAAAAUACUAAAACAAUGUUGUUUCUAUUGAGCCUGUGUUCUACCGGGCUUUGAGGAGUCUGUACUUCGUCGGAAGACUACAUUAACCGUGGGAUCUUUGACAAGACUACGUUAAAUACCGGGAAUUCCUGUAUCUGAACGAAAAGGUACUGAUGUCCACACGGAUAAAGAUGUACUUCUUCGUCGACGGAUGAUACUGGCACUUUUUGGUGAAUUAUUGGCGUGGAGGGAUAUAGGAUUGUAACCAUCACAUGUGCACCAGUGACCUGCCAAUUGUUAAUUACUGGGUAUGAAAUAAUGUGUGGUGAUCAAAAUAACCGAGUUAAAGGAAGGAUCAAGAACAGUUAAUUUCAACACAGAUAACAAACGUGGAUUACUUCCGAGUUGAGAGGGUAACAAAAUAAAACAUAUUCCUAAACAUAUUUCAUAAAAUUUCAUUAUGAAAUGUUGCCCAUGAAUUCAUUAUUAUGACCCAUAAUAUUGCAUAAUCAACAACAGACAUUGAAAGAUUUGUAUUCCGUAAAAUGUCAUACAUCGAUAUGAACUAUUAAAAUCACGUUAUUCGAUUUUGUUAUGAAAAAAAAAGUAAAAAAAGGUUGUCAUACUAAUGUUUGUCAUUAAUUUCUCAUAAUUUUGUAUUUUGUCAGUGUACGACAAGACUAUUCAACUGUUGUGACAAAUUAUUAAUAUUGUAUAUUGUUUUAACAAUUUCGAGCUAACAAAUGCAUAUGAAGAUUCCACUUGGUCUUUAUCGGAUGUAUUUUGUCACAUAUAAAUGUCAAUCGAAGUUUGUCCCUUUUCACUAUUGCAGUUUAUGUGUUGGGAAUAUGACAUUGAAUGAUCUUUUUCAUUUAUACGUUUGAUGUUUCCAUUGAACAUACUCAUGGAGUAGCUGUAACAAUUCAUAAUCAAGUAUCUGAAGCACUUACAAAUAAAACACUCCUUAACAUAACAAACAUAACCUCUUAUCAGCAUCAUGUAGGUAUAAUCAUGGAAAUGAAAAUGCUCAAUCCUAUAUGUUGGAAUGUCCACUUCAAAUCAUAUGACAAAUAGGUAUAUUGACUCGUGAUCUCUUUAAUCUACAUAACCUUCUGAAUGACUGUUUAAUGUAUAUUCCUAAUAUAAACAUAUUUAUUUAUUGUUUAACGUAUAGCUGGAUACAGAUAAAACGAUUUGAUAUGUUAUAUCCCUCAAAACUUAAACAUUAUAAAUGGCACUUAACUUUUGGUUGAAUGAAACCAUGAAGCUAAACUAUAUCACGAUGUUUACUAUAAUGAAACAACGAUAUUAAUUUUUGACUGACUUGAUUGGAUUGGAUAUUGUUACGUGACAACAAGUGUUUUGUACAUUACAAUGUUUAUUUAUAACAAUGCUGAUUAUAUCAUAUUAGUGAAGUCCAAACAUUUACUAAAAUUUAUCCUACAUUAAAAAAAAAUCUCCUUAUAUGAAAUGCCAUGAAAUACAGAUUUGCUGAUGAAUUGUCAUGACUCUCUAUAUAUUAUACGGAUGCUGUUAUUUUUAGUUAAAGAAGUCGCAAGUGACCAAUUCUAAUAGCAUUUUAUCCGUCGUCAUGUGUCGUGCAUCGUCAGUUCGUAAACAGGUUACCUCUUCAACUUCUCUCAGAGACACAUGCAACUAUAACGCUAUAACUAAAUGAAUGUUUUGAGUAUUAAUUCAUGACUAGAGACCAGCCAAAGCUUGUUAAAUUGCUGGUUUCCACCCUCUAAGGUCCUAAGUGAACAAAAUUGACGUUUUCAACUGGGAUUGAAUGAACAUAUACUGUAGUUUACAGCGCAUCAUUUGUUGAAAUGUCAUUUGAAAUCAUUCGAACUUGUUUGAAAUGAUCAGAAUUGGAUUGCAGUUUGAUGGUAUACACUAGGCUGACUGACAUCCACGACCUGAUGUACAGGGUUGAAAUGGGUCAAAUUGGCUGAAAUAUGUAAAAACGUAGGUGACCGUUCAGGUCAUGGACCUCUUGUACACUUGUGCACUACAAUUAAUAAAGUUUAUAUUUCUUAA